ensembl:snRNA U6 U6 spliceosomal RNA
AUGCUUGCUUCAGCAGCACAUAUACUAAAAUUGGAAUGAUACAGAGAAGAUUCUGUAAGGAUGUGUGCAAGGACGACACACAAAUUCAUGAAAUGUUCCAUAUUUUU